UACAGAGGGUGCGAGCGUUAAUCGGAAUUACUGGGCGUAAAGGGCGCGUAGGCGGUGAAUUAAGUUAGAUGUGAAAUCCCUGGGCUUAACCUAGGAACUGCAUCUAAUACUGGUUUGCUAGAGUGCAGUAGAGGGUAGUGGAAUUUCCGGUGUAGCGGUGAAAUGCGUAGAUAUCGGAAGGAACACCAGUGGCGAAGGCGGCUACCUGGACUGACACUGACGCUGAGGCGCGAGAGCGUGGGGAGCAAACAGG
rnacentral:rRNA from 1 species